rnacentral:snRNA from 1 species
UGUCCUCCAUAGGAGGUCUAUAUUGAGCAGAUUCUUUUUGGUUUUGGGUGGUGGAACCAGAGCAUGCUCCAUCCACUCCAUGCAUUGACCUGGUAUUACAGUGCUUCCAGGACCAGUGC